UUGAAAUACCACCCUUUAAUGUUUGAUGUUCUAACGUGGACCCGUUACCCGGGUUGCGGACAGUGUCUGGUGGGUAGUUUGACUGGGGCGGUCUCCUCCUAAAGAGUAACGGAGGAGCACGAAGGUUGGCUAAUCCUGGUCGGACAUCAGGAGGUUAGUGCAAUGGCAUAAGCCAGCUUGACUGCGAGCGUGACGGCGCGAGCAGGUGCGAAAGCAGGUCAUAGUGAUCCGGUGGUUCUGAAUGGAAGGGCCAUCGCUCAACGGAUAAAAGGUACUCCGGGGAUAACAGGCUGAUACCGCCCAAGAGUUCAUAUCGACGGCGGUGUUUGGCACCUCGAUGUCGGCUCAUCACAUCCUGGGGCUGAAGUAGGUCCCAAGGGUAUGGCUGUUCGCCAUUUAAAGUGGUACGCGAGCUGGGUUUAGAACGUCGUGAGACAGUUCGGUCCCUAUCUGCCGUGGGCGCUGGAGAACUGAGGGGGGCUGCUCCUAGUACGAGAGGACCGGAGUGGACGCAUCACUGGUGUUCGGGUUGUCAUGCCAAUGGCACUGCCCGGUAGCUAAAUGCGGAAGAGAUAAGUGCUGAAAGCAUCUAAGCACGAAACUUGCCCCGAG
rnacentral:rRNA from 1 species